rnacentral:rRNA from 1 species
UACGAGGGGUCCUAGCGUUGUUCGGAAUUAUUGGGCGUAAAGAGUCUGUAGGCGGUUUUGUAAGUCAGGUGUGAAAGCCCCGGGCUCAACCCGGGAAGUGCAUCUGAUACUGCUUAACUUGAAUGUUGGAGAGGGUAGUGGAAUUCCUGGUGUAGUGGUGAAAUACGUAGAUAUCAGGAGGAACACCGGUGGCGAAGGCGGCUACCUGGCCAGACAUUGACGCUGAGAGACGAAAGCGUGGGGAUCAAACAGG